GUGGGGAAUAUUGGGCAAUGGGCGAAAGCCUGACCCAGCAACGCCGCGUGAAGGAAGAAGGCUUUCGGGUUGUAAACUUCUUUUGUCAGGGACGAAAAAAAUGACGGUACCUGACGAAUAAGUCACGGCUAACUACGUGCCAGCAGCCGCGGUAAUACGUAGGUGGCAAGCGUUAUCCGGAUUUACUGGGUGUAAAGGGCGUGUAGGCGGGAAAGCAAGUCAGAUGUGAAAACUAUGGGCUCAACCCAUAGCCUGCAUUUGAAACUGUUUUUCUUGAGUACUGGAGAGGCAGAUGGAAUUCCUAGUGUAGCGGUGAAAUGCGUAGAUAUUAGGAGGAACACCAGUGGCGAAGGCGAUCUGCUGGACAGCAACUGACGCUGAGGCGCGAAAGCGUGGGGAGCAAACAGGAUUAGAUACCCCUGUAGUCC
rnacentral:rRNA from 1 species